GCACAUAGUUAGUGGUAGAACACCGGCAUCGCAUGCUGGAGACCCAGGUUCAAAUCCUGGUCCA